rnacentral:rRNA from 1 species
AUGAAGCGGCAAGCGGACAAGCAUCGCACAGAACGCUCCUUCCAAGUGGGUGAUCAGGUUUUUCUCAAGGUCCAACCCUACCUUCAAAACUCCUUGGCUGCCCAGCGCAAUCAAAAGCUUGCCUUGAAGUUCUACGGGCCGUACCAAGUUCUGCAGCGUGUCGGCGCUGUCUCCUACAAGCUGGCUCUUCCUGCGAAUUCCAGGAUCCACGACGCGAUCCACGUCUCCCAGCUCAAGAAGCAAGUCCCUCCCAAGUUCUCCGUCGAGCCAGACAUGAGCAUGGUGGCGCCGCGGAACCUGUCGCUGCUGCAGCCGGCGACGAUCUUGCAGAUGAAGCUCAUUCGGCGUGGUGGUUCAAUGAAGCCCCGGCUCAAGGUACGCUGGCGUGAUCGCCCUGACACCCAUGACUGCUGGGAAGACGCAUUCGCUCUGCAGCAGAUUCUCCCUUCGACGGCUUGGGGGCAAGCCGCUCCUCAAGGGAUGGGGAAUGUUAUGCCAUGGCCCAACCCAGGAAGGAGGCCCAAGGCCUGUCGCCGCUCACGCCUGCUGGACCGGGCCUGGAGGGCAGGAGGAACCCAGUGCGGCAUCACGGCAGCGAGAGAUAAAGAGCAGUAG